GAUAAACGCUGGCGGCGUGCAUAACACAUGCAAGUCGAACGCAGUGGCGAACGGGUGAGUAACACGUGAGUCACCUGCCUUACACAAGGGGAUAGCCUUUGAAAACGACGAAUAAUACCCUAUAGUGUAAGAUGGACUUGCGUCUGAUUAGCUAGUUGGUUAGAUAAAAGCCCACCAAGGCGACGAUCAGUAGCCGGCUUGGGAACGUGUACGGCAACCUUGGGAGUGGGACACGGCCCAAACUCUACGGGAGGCAGCAGUGGUGAAUGUUGCACAAUGGGGGAAACCCUGAUGCAGCGACGCCGCGUGAUUUAGAAGGCAUUCGGGUUGUAAAAAUCUUUUUUAUGGGCUGCAGUACCAUAAGAAUAAGGUCCGGCUAAAUACGUGCCAGCAGCCGCGGUAAUUC
rnacentral:rRNA from 1 species